UCUGUAGGUGGUUUACUAAGUCAACUGUUAAAUCUUGAAGCUCAACUUCAAAAUCGCAGUCGAAACUAGUAGACUAGAGUAUAGUAGGGGUAAAGGGAAUUUCCAGUGGAGCGGUGAAAUGCGUAGAGAUUGGAAAGAACACCGAUGGCGAAGGCAUUUUACUGGGCUAUUACUGACACUCAGAGACGAAAGCUAGGGUAGCAAAUG
rnacentral:rRNA from 1 species